GUGGGGAAUCUUCCGCAAUGGGCGAAAGCCUGACGGAGCAACGCCGCGUGAGUGAAGACGGCCUUCGGGUUGUAAAGCUCUGUUAUAGGGGACGAACGGCCGGGUAGCGAAGAGGUAGCCGGCAUGACGGUACCGUAAGAGAAAGCCACGGCUAACUACGUGCCAGCAGCCGCGGUAAUACGUAGGUGGCAAGCGUUGUCCGGAAUGAUUGGGCGUAAAGGGCGCGCAGGCGGCUGUGUAAGUCUGUCUAAAAAGUGCGGGGCUAAACCCCGUGAGAGGAUGGAAACUGGACAGCUGAGAGUGUCGGAGAGGAAAGCGGAAUUCCUAGUGUAGCGGUGAAAUGCGUAGAUAUUAGGAGGAACACCGGUGGCGAAAGCGGCUUUCUGGACGACAACUGACGCUGAGGCGCGAAAGCCAGGGGAGCAAACGGGAUUAGAAACCCCAGUAGUCC
rnacentral:rRNA from 1 species